GUCUACAGCCAUACCACCAUGAACGCGCCCGAUCUCGUCUGAUCUCGGAAGCUAAGCAGGGUCGGGCCUGGUUAGUACUUGGAUGGGAGACAAUGCUUACAAAUACAGGCAUCUAGGGCCU
rnacentral:rRNA from 1 species